GACAGAGGUGCCGAGCGUUAGGCGGAAUCACUGGGCUUAAAGCGUGUGUAGGCGGGCGGGCAAGUACCUUGUGAAAUCCCACGGCUCAACCGUGGAACGGCUGGGUAUACUGCCUGUCUUGAGCCAACUAGGGGCGAGCGGAACAGACGGUGGAGCGGUGAAAUGCGUAGAUAUCGUCUGGAACGCCAAAGGUGAAAACAGACUGCUGGGGCUGUGCUGACGCUGAGACACGAAAGCCAGGGGAGCGAACGGG
rnacentral:rRNA from 1 species